rnacentral:rRNA from 1 species
UGCUGUUUCGCUGACGAGUGGCGGACGGGUGAGUAAUGUCUGGGAAACUGCCUGAUGGAGGGGGAUAACUACUGGAAACGGUAGCUAAUACCGCAUAACGUCGCAAGACCAAAGAGGGGGACCUUCGGGCCUCUUGCCAUCGGAUGUGCCCAGAUGGGAUUAGCUAGUAGGUGGGGUAACGGCUCACCUAGGCGACGAUCCCUAGCUGGUCUGAGAGGAUGACCAGCCACACUGGAACUGAGACACGGUCCAGACUCCUACGGGAGGCAGCAGUGGGGAAUAUUGCACAAUGGGCGCAAGCCUGAUGCAGCCAUGCCGCGUGUAUGAAGAAGGCCUUCGGGUUGUAAAGUACUUUCAGCGGGGAGGAAGGGAGUAAAGUUAAUACCUUUACUCAUUGACGUUACCCGCAGAAGAAGCACCGGCUAACUCCGUGCCAGCAGCCGCGGUAAUACGGAGGGUGCAAGCGUUAAUCGGAAUUACUGGGCGUAAAGCGCACGCAGGCGGUUUGUUAAGUCAGAUGUGAAAUCCCCGGGCUCAACCUGGGAACUGCAUCUGAUACUGGCAAGCUUGAGUCUCGUAGAGGGGGGUAGAAUUCCAGGUGUAGCGGUGAAAUGCGUAGAGAUCUGGAGGAAUACCGGUGGCGAAGGCGGCCCCCUGGACGAGGACUGACGCUCAGGUGCGAAAGCGUGAGGAGCAAACAGGAUUAGAUACCCUGGUAGUCCACGCCGUAAACGAUGUCGACUUGGAGGUUGUGCCCUUGAG